ACUCCUACGGGAGGCAGCAGUGGGGAAUAUUGCACAAUGGGCGCAAGCCUGAUGCAGCCAUGCCGCGUGUAUGAAGAAGGCCUUCGGGUUGUAAAGUACUUUCAGCGGGGAGGAAGGCGAUAAGGUUAAUAACCUUGUGCGAUUGACGUACCCGCAGAAGA
rnacentral:rRNA from 1 species